rnacentral:rRNA from 1 species
UACGGAGGAUCCGAGCGUUAUCCGGAUUUAUUGGGUUUAAAGGGUGCGCAGGCGGGAGAUUAAGUCGGCGGUGAAAUUUUGCAGCUCAACUGUAAAAGUGCCUUCGAAACUGGUUUCCUUGAGUGUAGAUGAAGUAGGCGGAAUUUGUGGUGUAGCGGUGAAAUGCAUAGAUAUCACACAGAACACCGAUUGCGAAGGCAGCACACUAAGUCAUUAUUGACGCUGAGGCACGAAAGUGUGGGGAUCAAACAGGAUUAGAUA